UACGUAGGGUGCAAGCGUUAUCCGGAAUUAUUGGGCGUAAAGAGCUCGUAGGCGGUUUUGUCGCGUCUGCUGUGAAAACUGGAGGCUCAACCUCCAGCCUGCAGUGGGUACGGGCAGACUAGAGUGCGGUAGGGGAGAUUGGAAUUCCUGGUGUAGCGGUGGAAUGCGCAGAUAUCAGGAGGAACACCGGUGGCGAAGGCGGGUCUCUGGGCAGUAACUGACGCUGAGGAGCGAAAGCGUGGGGAGCGAACAGG
rnacentral:rRNA from 1 species